CUCCUUCAGAGAUGGAAGUCUGCUUCAACAUGUCACAGUAUAUUUUGAUGGCACUGUCACAUGGAGAAAAAACCUGAUAAUUUACUUCACAGUCUGCUGACCUGAGUAAUGUGGUCUGCUCAGAAGAAGUUGAGUGUGAAUUUAAGAAGCUGUCCAAGGGGUCAGGUGUUUGCCUAAUUUUGAGCAGCCUGAAUGUGAAACAAAGGUGGGUCAGGUCUGCAGGGACUUGGGGGUGACCCAGCUCUACUCCUGCUCUGCCCCUGUGCUGCCCUGGCUCGCUGGGAAGCCUCUCUGUGUGGGAGCCCGAGCACGGAGCUGGAGUUGUGGAUAAUGAACCCCAUGGAGAGCAGAGUGGAGACUGGAGCACGAUGCUGACUUAAUGGGGCACUUUGGCUCCUGAAGCUGGUCGGCUUAGCCCAGGAAGGAGCCCACUGCGUCUUCCUCAGCAGUGUGGGAAGAUGCUCCCUUGGGAAACCUUCACUUGCUGUCAGCAUCUGCUCUCCUUUUGCUAAACCCUUUCACUGUAAUGAUGCCAUCUCUCUCAGUGUCCUGUAUUAUUCUCCUCUCUGUCAUUCCCAGGGGGUCUGAUUAAAAUCAGUGGAAAGCUCUCUUGGAUUUUACUGGCUUUGGUACUCUCACUCUGCUCCUUAAUGUGCCUUUCUUUUCUGUUUUUAACUGCUUUCGGUUUGGGCUCUCUUCUGCUGUGUUCUAAACACCUCUCAUCUUUCCCCACAUUUGUGUUUUUGUACUUUUAUUCCUAUUCCUGACCUGCUCGACAACUGUUAAAUUACUUAGGCAGUGAAUAAAAUGCAGAUUAAAGAA